UACGGAGGGUGCAAGCGUUAUCCGGAUUCACUGGGUUUAAAGGGUGCGUAGGUGGGUCUGUAAGUCAGUGGUGAAAUCUCCGGGCUUAACCCGGAAACUGCCAUUGAUACUAUAGGUCUUGAAUUUUCUGGAGGUAAGCGGAAUAUGUCAUGUAGCGGUGAAAUGCUUAGAUAUGACAUAGAACACCAAUUGCGAAGGCAGCUUACUACAGGAACAUUGACACUGAGGCACGAAAGCGUGGGGAUCAAACAGG
rnacentral:rRNA from 1 species